AGAAUGCAUUCCCAGGCUCAAGUUCAAACAAAUCUUUUCUCUCUGAAGUGCCAGAGGGGAAAUUUGCAAGCAGCUGAGAGGAUCAGCCAGACCCUUCCAGAGGGAGAGAGAGACCCUUGCGAGGAACAGGCCUUCUCCCCAGCAGAGCCUUUGGUGGGAGCAGGCCCCUGCAGCACGACAGGACUUUGGGGGAAUUCGGGAGCCGUCCUUACCAGGGCUGUUAGGGAAAGGUAUCUGGACAGCACAAUCGCAGCUAUGCCACAGGAGAUGGUCUGCAAAGGAAACACAGCAAUGGGAGGAGAUGCUCUGCCAAGCCCCUCAGCCUCCCCACCCCCGGGCAGAGCCAGCAUGCCAGGAGAGCAGUACCAGGAUGGCCGAGGUCACCGAGAUGAUGUUGGAGAUGGCGUACUGCAGGGAGAUGGCAUCCUGGGGGUUUGCCACGUAGCGUAGCACGGUCCCCUGCACGAGGGCUCCAGAGAUGAAACUGAGGUGGCCGAUCACAAUCAGGAUGAGCCCCGUCUUCAUCAGCAGCUUCUGGAAGCUGCUGGAAUCGAGGGUGUCUGUGCAGGAGAGAAGGGAGGGGCUCAGCUCGCUGCCGCUCUAGUUCGGGUCCAGGCAGCACCAUGAUGGGCAGGCACAGAACAAGCACAGCCACACAGAUCCCUGCCCUGAGGCCCUGACACUGCCGUGAGGGGCGGAGCGGGCAUGGAGGAAGCCAUGAGAAGCACUGAUGCUGUUGUAAUGCCCUAUAAAAAUCCCCUCUGAACUCCUGACCAGGACUCUGGAGCAGCCAAAGAGCCUGUCCCAGAGAAUUUGCCCCGUGGGUGGCAGGGCACAGCUGGGGUAGCUGAGCAGCACAGACGGGAUCGGUCCCAGACCCGCACUUGCCAGUCGAGUCUCAGGGCUGGGACGUGACGCCCGACUAGCGCCUGGGCGAGCGCGGCAGCGUUCUCACACAGGUGAGUGGUUCGGACAGGGCAUGGGAACAGAAGUGGAGCAAAGCGAUGGGGUGAGCAAAGGGGAGCGGUGCCGUGGGGCGGCACUGACUGAAGGGGGGGGCUCAGGGCAGUCCAGCCCCAAGGCACAGAGCAGCUGAGCUAGCUACAAAGGCUUCCAGAGGGGCCCAGAGAAGCAGCAAGCAGUGGAUAGGGCUGGAGAGCCAAGUGGAGCUGUACUCAGGGGACUCCACCUCAGGGUUCCUUAGCUAGGAGUGUGCAGGAGCACCAGCUAGGUGGCCCCUUGGAGACUCCAUUCCCAGCCUCUCCCCGCAGGAUGGGCUGCAGGAGCUCCCUAGGCCCAUAUUCCAGUCCCAGCCUCAGUCAGUUACUCCUCCACUCUGUGCUUACGGGAGGGAUUGAAUGAAUAGUGGGGAGCAGCGCAGGCCAGAGCGGAUCCUCCCAUAGCUCCCUGCCCGGAGAGCUCAAGCAGGUGGAUCUAAGACCCUGGAGCACAGAGACUAAGAAAGGGACAAGGAAGUUCUGUAAUCAGAAGCUUCCUACAAAACAAACAGAUUUCUUUAAAGAUUAACCAUACAUUAAACCUCAGAACGCCAAGAGAUCAUCUUCUCCCCUCCCAACAGGAAGGGCUGUGAGCGGGAGGGUGCCCAGGCCCUCUCCACACUAGGGCUUACAACUCUGCAAACAGAACUCACAACUCAUGUGAUCCUCACAACCCGCAGGAUCACAGGAACUGCUCUUUGGGGCAGAGCUUUCUUACUUCUAUUCCAGACCUACCCUGUUCCAAACACAGGCUGGAGCCCCUGGCGCAAAGCCUUUCGAGAUAGCAUAGCCUGAUGCUCCUGUGCGGACAGGGGCUCUGCUUUCUGGAGGUGAUAUCAACCUCCCCUCUGCCCCCGGGACCAGAGCUCACAGAUGGGGGAUCUGGGUGGACUUUGCUUCUAUUCCCAGCUCAGUCAGGCACUGGGCAAGUCACUUGGCCCAUUCUGUGCCUCACCUGCCCCAGCUGUAGACAGAGAAGGAUGCUGCCCAGCCUCCCCCUUCCCCAGAGCCUUGGGUGGAAGGGGCCGAAGAAGCAAGAAUUGCUACAUUGUGGCCUCUGGUGACCAGCUCCCAGGACUGCCCCUGGAAUCCUGUGGUCACCCCCUCCCUGUGAUCAGGGGACAAGAUCUGGGCUUUGAUCCCCUGGCCUCAUUUCUCACCUUUGCAACCCCACUGAUUGUUUCCCACCCGCCAGCUUUAGCUGGGGCUCCUCAAUUCCAAGCUCUUACAGAAAGGCCUUUGAGAAAGGAAAAAAAAAUCCACAGGAUGAUGCAGACAAGGCCCCACCAGUCUCCAAUCCACCACUGCCCUUCCAGUCUGACCCCCCAGGCCCAUCCGGCAGGACCAGGGUGUGAAAUUCCUUCCCCUCCCUGUCACUUUGGGGAAAGUGGAAGCCACUCACCCAGUCCACA